rnacentral:misc_RNA from 1 species
AACGCAUCUUGCGCUCCUUGGUAUUCCGAGGAGCAUGCCUGUUUGAGUGUCAUUUAACUUCUCAACCACAUCAGAUUGAUGUUGGCUUGGAUGUGGGGGUUGUUUUUGCAGGCUUUCUGUAGAAGGUCGGCUCCCCUGAAAUGGAUUAGUGGUAUCUGAGGCUACUACUGUAGGUGUGAUAACUAUCUAUGCCUUUGGUAUGCCGCAUGAACAGAUUACACUGCUUCUAACAAAACAAAUUUUGAUAAAUUUGACCUCAAAUCAGGUAGGACUACCCGCUGAACUUAA